CUCCUCUGCUCCAGGCUGGGUUGGGCUCUGAGCAAGGGGAGGGUUUAGAGCCUCCUCCCUCUCUGCCCCUCCCCAUGUGUCUCUAGGGGGCUGGUGCAGGCAGCAGCAGAGGCAGUCUGGGCAGCUGCGUGAGGGCCCAUGUGGGCAAGGCCCCCAGUGGCCGCCUUCUCUCCCAGGGCCCUGUGGGCAGGCCUCCUGCUUCACUUGCAGGUUUCUUGAAGUGCCUUCUUGCUCCUGUCUGUUUCUCCAUCCUGCCAGAUAUCUGUUUCUCUUGCUGGGCUGGUGGCAGGAGGGGGCCAUGUUGGUGGGCCCCACAGAGAUGCUCAGUGCUCGAGAUCGCCGGGACCGGCCCCCUGAGGAGGGGGUAGCUGCAGAGCUCCAGGGCUUCGCGGUGGACAAGAACUUCCUCAUCUCCCUCAAAGGCAUCCUGCUGGAAACUGAGCUGGCCCUGACCUUCAUCAUCUUCAUCUGCUUCACGGCCUCCAUCUCUGCCUACAUGGCUGCAGCGCUGCUGGAGUUCUUCAUCACACUUGCCUUCCUCUUCCUCUACACCACCCAGUACUACCAGCGCUUCGACCGGCUUAACUGGCCCUGUUUGGACUUCCUGCGCUGUGUCAGUGCCAUCAUCAUCUUCCUGGUGGUCUCCUUUGCAGCUGUGACCUCCCGGGAUGGAGCUGCCAUUGCUGCUUUUGUUUUUGGCAUCAUCCUGGUUUCCGUCUUUGCCUAUGAUGCCUUCAAAAUCUACCGGACUGAGAUAGCACCGGGGGCCAGCCAGGAAAUUAGGCAGGUCAGGAAUGCCAAGGAGUACUGAUGGAAGUGCUGCCGGAGCAGGUUGUGGCCCCUCUUUUGGACCAGGUCUGAGCAGUGAGGAUGUGGGGGCUACCCAGAAGAAGCUGAAGACAUCCUCCAACACAAAACUUCUACGCCACACUUCUGUGUACAAGACCAUUUUGUGGUAUGCCUGGUGGCUGGGCAUCUGGAGUUCUGUGUCUGAGAAGGCACAGCCUUCCUGAUGGCGCACACACCCACCACCACACCUGUUCCCACAGCUUGUUGACCUGGGACUCAGCGAUGUCUGCCCGCUCCUCCGCCUCAUCCAGCUCGUGCUGCACCUUUCGGAACUUGGACAGGUUGGUGUUGGCCUGCUCCUCCUGCGGUGGGACAAUGGGGAUGGGUGAAUGAGCUGAGAUGGGCUUCGGGAUUCUCAACCUCUCAGCCUGAGGUUCCAGCUCCCUGUCCCUGAGACACUCAUGCCUCGGGCAUAUUCCCUUUCCAAGGGUAUCUUGCACCCGCCUUGUACCCUCCUCAAACGUGUCCAGCAUUUGGAGUCCUUCACAGCCAUCCACUGCCCAAGACAAAUACAGUUUUGCUGCACCUGUCCUGGCCCCUGGGUUUCUGAGCAGACAUGCUCAUCAGCAGCUCACAUCCACCCAGACAUCUUCCCCAUUGCCCUAUGCCUAGCUGGGUCCCCUUCCAGGCCUAAUUCCAUGGUCAACUUCCUGCCUUCAGCUUUGACUGCUCCUGUCCUGCGCUAGCAUCUACACUGCCUUCUGUUGGAUUACGGUGUCUGAAGCUUGUAGGUGGUGCCUUUGUUAACUCAGAACACCUGACACAGCUCUGAACAUACCAGAUGUGUAAAAUUAAUGUUUGAGAGUUAAAGUUUAUAGCAAACUCUUUGUCUAGGCACCUCUGUGGGAGAUGCUCAUUGGUUCUCACACACAAUAGGUAUGUUGAUGAGAAAGGAAAGAAAACCUUGAACUCACCGCCUCCUCGGCCUGGCGCUUGUAGGCCUUGACCUUCAGUUGCAACUUGUCCACCAGGUCCUGCAGACGCAGCAGAUUCUUUUUGUCUUCCUCUGUCUGGGGGUGGGAGGGUGGAAGGGUGGGAGAAGCUAAUUUGGAGGAGGAGCAAAUGCAAUCACCUUUCCCUCCUCCAUCAUUUUACUCUUCUUUUGCCUUUACUGCCCCUCCCUACAAUGGUCCAGGUCAAAGAGAUGGGGGGGAAGACUCUCCCACUCUAUUGUAGGCCAAAGGGGUGAUGCAAGGUUGUCAGUCAGGGAUUCACAAAGCAAUGAAGGCUGCAGUCUUAAAGCUAGAAGUUGGAGGAGAGGCUCAGACCCUAAUGGAAUUCCUUAAUGUGGUAAUAGAAAGGGACCAGGUCUGUUCCAGCUCCAAUCUGGUGGAUAAAGCUCCAACUUGGACCUACACAGGUGCUCUUGGCCAGCAGUUCUUGACCAGAGGAGGAAUAAUGAAGAAUGCAGAAAGAAGGGGGUAUUAUCAUAACCCAGAUUAUUCUACAUUCUAAUAUAUUGUAUUGGACCAGAAUUCAGGCCUCAGGAUCACUGGCUCCAACGUCACGCCACCCUUCCUAUCUGUUUAUCAUUGUAUGUGCCAGGAUGCCAUUUCUACUUCUGCCCACAAAUCACCCUGUGGUUCUGUAUCUGUAAUCUUUCUUGUGCCUCUGGCAUCCAUCUAUUAAAUGGAGUGACACCCUCA